rnacentral:pre_miRNA from 1 species
CUUGUACUCCCUCCGUCCGAAAAUACUUGUCAUUGAAAUGGAUGUAUAUAGAUGUAUUUUAGUUCUAGACACAUCCAUUUUGAUGACAAGUAAUUCCGGAAGGAGGGAGUACUUG